rnacentral:rRNA from 1 species
AUGAUUCAGGAACGGUAUAGAGACAUGCUGAUCAAUGAGUUCUCUUUGGAGGAAAUUAAGAAUUUAGUGUUUAAUAUGGCACAUAAUAAGUCGCCUGGCCCUGAUGGAUUUACAGCUGAAUUCUAUCAACAUUACUGGGAGUUAGUCAAAAAUGGUCUUAAGGCCUUACUAGAAGAUUUUGGAAACAAAAAAAAUGAUAUUAGUAGGUUGAAUUAUGGGAUUAUUACUUUGGUCCCAAAAAGCAAAGAUGCUGCCAAAAUACAAAACUUCAGGCCUAUUUGCUUGCUGAAUGUUUGUUUCAAAAUUAUUACUAAAGUUCUGAUGAACAGAUUGAAUAUAGUGGCAACAUAUGUCAUUUCCCCCGUGCAAACUGCUUUUGUUAAAGGCAGAUAUAUCAUGGAGGGGGUCUUGAUUCUGCAUGAAGCUUUGAAUAGCAUAAAAAAAGAAACAAGGGGCGUUGCUCUUGAAAAUUGA